GUAGGUGGCAAGCGUUGUCCGGAAUUAUUGGGCGUAAACGCGCGCGCAGGCGGUUCUUUAAGUCUGAUGUGAAAGCCCACGGGCUCAACCGUGGAGGGUCAUUGGAAACUGGAGAACUUGAGUACAGAAGAGGAAAGCGGAAUUCCACGUGUAGCGGUGAAAUGCGUAGAGAUGUGGAGGAACACCAGUGGCGAAGGCGGCUUUCUGGUCUGUAACUGACGCUGAGGCGCGAAAGCGUGGGGAGCAAACAGGAUUAGAUACCCUGGUAGUCCACGCCGUAAACGAUGAGUGCUAAGUGUUAGGGGGUUUCCGCCCCUUAGUGCUGCAGCUAACGCAUUAAGCACUCCGCCUGGGGAGUACGGCCGCAAGGCUG
rnacentral:rRNA from 1 species